GGACUACCAGGGUAUCUAAUCCUGUUUGAUCCCCACGCUUUCGUGCCUCAGCGUCAAUAUAUGUGUAGCCUGCUGCCUUCGCAAUAGGUGUUCUAUGUCAUAUCUAAGCAUUUCACCGCUACAUGACAUAUUCCGCAAACCUCCACAAUAUUCAAGAUACAUAGUAUCAAUGGCAGUUUCGGAGUUAAGCUCCGAGAUUUCACCACUGACUUACAUACCCGCCUACGCACCCUUUAAACCCAGUGAAUCCGGAUAACGCUUGCACCCUCCGUAUUACCGCGGCUGCUGGCAC
rnacentral:rRNA from 1 species